UACGGAGGAUGCAAGCGUUAUCCGGAUUUAUUGGGUUUAAAGGGUGCGUAGGCGGGAAGAUAAGUCAGUGGUGAAAUCCUGCAGCUUAACUGUAGAAUUGCCGUUGAUACUAUUUUUCUUGAGUGUGGUCAAGGAAGGCGGAAUGUGUAAUGUAGCGGUGAAAUGCUUAGAUAUUACACAGAACACCGAUUGCGAAGGCAGCUUUCUGGGCCGUUACUGACGCUGAUGCACGAAAGCGUUGGGAUCGAACAGGAUUAGAUA
rnacentral:rRNA from 1 species